rnacentral:lncRNA from 1 species
CGGGAUAAUGGCAACCUUGCGGAGGGCAUGUUCGAAGCUUGUUUGAAGGAUAGCGCAGCCCAGCUGCAGAGUAUGCUCAUGAGGCAGAUAGUGGGGGCGGCACGGCCAUCCCACCGGUUGUAUGCGGAGUUGGCUGAGCUCCCCCAGCAGUAUUACAUGGUGAAACAGAUCCUCCGUUUCUGGAACCGCCUUCAAAAGCAAGUGAGGUCCAUUGCUCAUGCAGUUUUACGGCAGGAGAUAACCGAUGCUCUGGCCAAUCCGGAAUGGGAGGGUUGGGGAACCCCAGUGUUACGACUGUUUUCCUUCUUGUAGCGCAAUACUUGGAGAGGAAUACCGCAAGAAGUCGUGGGGGUAAAGCGGUGUGUUGACUGGUUGUUGAGUAGGCCUCUCUGUAGCGCCGCGCCGCGGCGGGCGGCACCCGGCGGCAGCCCAAAAAUUUUCGCGUUUGGGGGAACCGCUGGAUGGACACACCGGGGCGCCCAGGAUCGUUUAGAGAAAGGAAUCGAUACCAGUAGAUUGUUUUAGUGGGAUAGGAUCGAGAUUUGUGUGUGCGAGCGGAAGCAGAGUCAGAGUUUAGUCCUGAGACCGUAGGCUCAGGUGUGGUUGUGAGCCUGAUGUGAGCAGAGUUUUACUGCUUCUUGGCCACUAGGCCCAAUGUCAGCUUGGAACCUGGUUGGCUGUUGACAAGAUAAAAUGGGUGGGAGUCAUCCACGCCAAGUGAAGGCGAUAUCCGUUACAAACUGCCUUGGCCGGUGCGUCCUGCUACCGUGCUCGGGAGUUGUAUGACUAGAGUAUCCCUUGGAAAACAUUGGUCAGGCCGCGCCUUAUAUAUGGUAAACACGCCCGCCAUUCGUACAACUGUCGUAUGGUCAACGUAAGACGUAGCUACCCUUUUCGCGCAGCAACUGCUCAUUACACAACGGUAGCUACCCGUUUACGCAGCUCCUGGCCAGGUUCAUGGCGGCCAAAGGAAACUGAGAAGAAACUAGUACAGGAUAUUUUUCAUAGAACAUUUCUCAGACCGGAGCUAGAUCGUCAGACACAAAUCGCCUGCUUUUACGUCGCCCGGUCGAAACAUUCCUCGUCAGUCUUUACGCGGUGCGCCGUAUGUACAUGACCAUUCUCAACGCGUUUAUAGUUUUUAAUUAACGAUAUGGCAAUAUUCGACCUCCUGCUAUGCCCGGAACGAUACGCAACCAAAGCCGUCAGACUCAGUUUUCUAUGACUAGCUGGACGUUGCUACAUCUCCCCAAAGGAGCGGUGAUAACGGCACUAAGGGAGCGUUUGAUGAGCAGCUGGGACCAUGCGCGCCUGACUAUCUUGUCUUGCCAGAGGAUUACCCACCAGUUGGGAAGCAACCGAGAGUGCAGAUGGCGAAGUAUAAGCACUGGAUGGGGAUGCCCUUUAAAUUUUCGGGAGCCGCAGCCGUUAAGUGGCCAACAUAUGCUAAGGUUUUCAUUUCUCGUGUAGCACGUCGUUCGUUUGUGUUGCUGGGCUAUGGAAGCAAACAGAGCAUGAAGCGGCUAGUACCAUGUCCCCAGGGAGCAGCGGUUUUGCCGCUGUUGUGGCACCAAUAGCCAAGUUGAGGAUGAAAAACACGNNNNNNNNNNNNNNNNNNNNNNNNNNNNNNNNNNNNNNNNNNNNNNNNNNAGGUGUGGUUGUGAGCCUGAUGUGAGCAGAGUUUUACUGCUUCUUGGCCACUAGGCCCAAUGUCAGCUUGGAACCUGGUUGGCUGUUGACAAGAUAAAAUGGGUGGGAGUCAUCCACGCCAAGUGAAGGCGAUAUCCGUUACAAACUGCCUUGGCCGGUGCGUCCUGCUACCGUGCUCGGGAGUUGUAUGACUAGAGUAUCCCUUGGAAAACAUUGGUCAGGCCGCGCCUUAUAUAUGGUAAACACG